rnacentral:rRNA from 1 species
UACGUAGGGUGCGAGCGUUAAUCGGAAUUACUGGGCGUAAAGCGUGCGCAGGCGGUUCGUUGUGUCUGAUGUGAAAGCCCCGGGCUCAACUUGGGAAUGGCAUUGGAAACUGGCGAGCUAGAGUGUGGCAGAGGGGGGUGGAAUUCCGCGUGUAGCAGUGAAAUGCGUAGAGAUGCGGAGGAACACCGAUGGCGAAGGCAGCCCCCUGGGCUGACACUGACGCUCAGGCACGAAAGCGUGGGGAGCAAACAGG